rnacentral:lncRNA from 1 species
CCCAGCCCAAGUCUUCUAGCACCCCGUGCCAGGGGCCAUGGAGCCCCGGGCAGUUGCGGAUGCCUUGGAGACGGGAGAGGAAGAUGCGGUGACAGAAGCUCUGCGGUCGUUUAACCGAGAGGUGAGAGGCAUCCAGCUGCCGAGGAAAUUGCAGGAAGUGAGGAAGCAGCCGGUUGCUCGCCACUCGGCUGGGGUGUGCGUGCGAGUGUGGCAGGGAGCAGGGCGGUGGGUGGUGGGCUGGGCCACGGCGGUGCCUCUGUGGUAGUCAGGUGUAUGGGUGGCGAGGGUGGGCCUUGCUUUACGUACACAGCGAUGGCUGCUGCUUCAGAGGUAGAAGCAGACCUGCUGCUUCUCGAGGAGCACAGGUCCUACCUGCGUGUGGAACUGAGCUUCCUGGGUCUCCCUGCAGCAUUCCCAGAGCUUCACCUUCGAUGAUGCACAGCAGGAGGACAGGAAGAGACUCGCAAAGCUGCUGGUCUCCGUACUGGAGCAGGGCUUGUCACCAAAACACCGUGUCACCUGGCUGCAGACUAUCCGAAUCCUAUCCCGAGACCGCAGCUGCCUGGACUCAUUUGCUAGCCGCCAGAGUUUACACGCACUAGCCUGCUAUGCCGACAUUGCCAUCUCAGAGGAGCCCAUCCCACAGCCCCCAGACAUGGAUGUCCUCCUCGAGUCUCUCAAAUGCCUGUGUAAUCUUGUGCUCAGCAGUCCUACAGCACAGAUGCUAGCAGCAGAGGCUCGACUGGUGGUGAGGCUAGCGGAACGUGUGGGACUGUACCG